rfam:Mus musculus chromosome 6, GRC primary reference assembly.
GGACAAUUUGGGUGUCACAUUUUUCACCCCAGUGUUAAUUUGGCUAACCUUGCUGCCUAGGAGAGUGUGUCCUUCAGAAGUUCUUCAUGUAUCCCGCCUGAAGUCUCAGUCUUAGUCAAGGAGGAACCUUCCUGACUGCGGAACAUCAUUCUUUUGCCUCCAGAAUCCAUGUAACCGAGCUCCGCCUCUAGAACCUCUAAACAUGUUCUCAAGGUCAAAUAUGAAUGGUUCCAUUUCUUGAACAUAUUAAUAGUGUUACUUUCUAGUAUAAAUAU